ACGCCGCAGACCCCAGAAAACCUCACCCGAGCCUAUACUGUGGGCAGCCCCUGUGGAUUCCGCUGCUGGGGAGCAAUUUAAGAGGCAAACAAAACAUGAAAAGCUACUCAGAAUUAACAAUGGGGCCAGAUGGCUCCCGCAACGACGCCCCGCAUUCGGCUCACAGAGCAAACACGUCUUCACUUUCUGAAGGCGUCAGCAGAAAGCAGGCGGCUCAACUGUCACAUAAGCGCCCUCCGUCCUGGAGAUGAUAAUUCAUCUGCCUACUUCUAAGAGGUUCCAUCUCCAGCCUCUCCUGGUUGCCAGGGAAGGAUGGAAGGCAGCUCCGACGGCGGAGAUGUGACAGGAGCUCUCGCCUUGUCGAAUCAGUCCUCGCCACCCUAUCACAGGAGAAAACUGCUCCCUGAGGCGCCCCCUCUUUGUGUGUCCUUUUUGCAAGGAGGCAGCCGAGUGGAGGGUGGCCCCCUUGAGAUGCAGUUUACUCGGCUGUGAAAUGCGAACGUUCAUACCUACUGCACUGGUUCACGGCAGAGACGUUUAAUGAGGGAAUAUGCAUGAGAGCCCGCUGUAAUUUUGUGAUGAGCUGAACAAAUGUCAGGACACGGCAGAGGCCAGUCAUCGGGUACCUGAAUCCCGCUGGUCCACGGUCAUGGAGCUCCAUCUCCUCGUGAUGUCAAUGUAGAGGAUGUCCACGGCGGCCAUGGACAAGCUGCUGCUACUGAGCUUGCAGUUCCUGCAGAAGACAGGAAAGGACACGUCACUGCCAGAUCCGACCCGUCCUGUCCUGUCUGGCUUCCGUGCCUUUGCCCGGGCUGUGUUCCCCGCCUGGAAGGCCCUCCCUCCCCACAGCUGGAACUAGCGAAGGGUGAAUGGCAGGGAACCAUGGGAGAGGAGGCUGAAAAUGGAAGAGCUGAGGUCAGAUCCUGUGGGUUCCUGUAAUGUGGUUCAUUAGGGCUCUAAUGGGCUGGGAGGAGGAGGGACUUUAGGAUGGCAAGUCUUGAGUUGAACCUGGCUCUACCACUUAGAAGCAGAUGGCUCUGAUUAAACUAUUUCCCCUUCUUGAGCCUCAGUUUCCUGACCUAUA